AAACCAACAGGGAUUACCUCAGUAACGGCGAGUGAAGCGGUAACAGCUCAAAUUUGAAAUCUGGGUCUUUCAGGCUCCGAGUUGUAAUUUGUAGAAGAUGCUUCGGGUGCGGCUCCGGUCUAAGUUCCUUGGAACAGGACGUCAUAGAGGGUGAGAAUCCCAUAUGUGAUCGGUUGCUUGCGCCCAUGUGAAGCUCUUUCGACGAGUCGAGUUGUUUGGGAAUGCAGCUCAAAAUGGGUGGUAAAUUUCAUCUAAAGCUAAAUAUUGGCCAGAGACCGAUAGCGCACAAGUAGAGUGAUCGAAAGAUGAAAAGCACUUUGGAAAGAGAGUUAAACAGUACGUGAAAUUGUUGAAAGGGAAGCGCUUGCAACCAGACUUGCGCGUUGCCGAUCAUCCGGGGUUCUCCCCGGUGCACUCGGCCUCGCUCAGGCCAGCAUCGGUUUUGGUGGUGGGAUAAAGGCCUUGGGAAUGUAGCUCCUUUCGGGGAGUGUUAUAGCCCUCGGUGCAAUGCCGCCUACCGGGACCGAGGACCGCGCUUCGGCUAGGAUGCUGGCGUAAUGGUUGUAAGCGAC
rnacentral:rRNA from 1 species